AUGUCUUCUUCCUCCACCACCAUGGCUGCCAUAUGGGCUCUGGCCAUUAUCCACCUCCUUCUAUUGCUCCCACUCCUGCGGUCCUCCAUUGUGUUCGAGCUCCACGGCGACGUCUAUCCUACUGGCCUCUUCUACGUUACCAUGAACAUUGGGGAACCCGCGAAGCCCUACAACCUUGACGUCGACACGGGCAGCCCCCUCACGUGGCUGGAGUGUGACGCCCCCCUCCAGAGCACUCACAAGGGGCCACACGAAGCGUACAGACCAACACCGACCAACGUGGUGCCAUGUGAUGAUGAGCGCUGCGUGGCGGUGCACAGGGACCUCGGCCUCGCGCACGACUGCACUCGGAACCCAGACCAAUGCGACUAUGUGUUUGGUUACAAGGACGGCGAGUCAUCCUUGGGCGUGCUCUUGGCCGACCAGUUCUCCCUCCCCACCAACAAUGAGAACCGACCCAACCUUGCUUUCGGCUGUGGGUACGACCAGGAAGGUGGGCAAGAGGCAGGCAAGAAGCUGGUGGAGGCGGAUGGCGUCCUCGGGAUCGGCAGGGGGACGGGUGACCUCGUCUCCCAGCUAAAGCAACAAGGCAUAAUCACUGACAAUAUCUUUGGCCACUGCCUCGGCGUCCAUGGAGGGGGUUUCCUCUUCUUUGGGGGCGACAGGGUGCCCUCUGCCGGCGUAACCUGGGUUCCAAUGGCUCAGAAUGUCGGGAGCCACUACUCACCUGGCGCAGCAACACUGAACCUCAAUGUACAACUGGAAUACCCGGUAAGCAUGGAGCCAAUGACCACCAUGUUUGACAGCGGGAGCACCUACACCUAUGUGCAUAAGGACACAUAUGGUCGCCUUAUUUCAGCGGUGGGAGUGACUCUCGAGGGUUCAUCACUUACCAAGGUGGACGAUGAUGCGCUGGCUGAAUGCUGGGAAGAAAACGAGCCAAUUCAAUUUGUUGACGACGUCAAGAGUAAAUUCAAGCCACUUGAACUUACUUUUGGCCAUGGGGCUAACCAGGCCACCAUGGAGAUCCCUCCUGAAAACUAUAUCGUUGUCACGAAAACCGGGAAAGUGUGCCUGGGCAUCCUCAAUGGAUCACAGAUUGGUCUGGAUCGACUGAACCUAAUUGGAGGUAAUACAAUGCAGAAUUAUAUCAUGAUAUACGAUAACGAGAGAGCACGGAUCGGAUGGGCCCGUGCGUCAUGCUAUGAAAUGCCAGGUCUCGAACCUCUCAUCGGGUCGCGUCUCUGA
rnacentral:rRNA from 1 species